UACGUAGGGUGCAAGCGUUAAUCGGAAUUACUGGGCGUAAAGCGUGCGCAGGCGGUUAUGUAAGACAGAUGUGAAAUGCCCGGGCUUAACCUGGGAACUGCAUUUGUGACUGCAUGGCUAGAGUUUGGCAGAGGGGGGUAGAAUUCCACGUGUAGCAGUGAAAUGCGUAGAUAUGUGGAGGAACACCGAUGGCGAAGGCAGCCCCCUGGGUCAAGACUGACGCUCAUGCACGAAAGCGUGGGGAGCAAACAGGAUUAGAGUA
rnacentral:rRNA from 1 species